AAAUGAUGAUGGAAGCUUGAAAUUCAACAGCCCUAUAUGAUCAUGUACUGAUCUUCAUACCAUACUGGUAAUAACAAUAAUAAUAAUAAUAAUAAUAAUAAUAUGGAGUAAUAAUUAUGAUCUGGGGUGCGACGCCGUGGUUUAGCAUUUCUUUAUUGAAAAUCUGGGGUGACCAUAGUGUCUGGAACCAUAAAAUGUGAACUUGAGGCUGUGAUGUUAGUUUUUGUUAUUGUUAUACAACAAUAAAAAUCUGAUUUCUGAGCUGCCCGUAUCUUGGCAUGGCAGUUGUUUUCUUGCAGCCAUGGCGGGUUGAGCCUGCAUUUUGUUAUUCUGAUAGAGAAAAAUGAAAAUGCUACCUGAGCCUCAUUUGAUUUUGGUUUUGGUAUCUGUAGUCUUCCGAUUAUUUAUUGGAAUAAGGGUCAAAUAUGCCACAGAAAUAGUAGCUUUCAGCUUUCAUCACGUACACCUGCCAGUUGUUUCGCCGGUUGGCUGGCAUGGCCUGAUGGGCUAGCCAGCACAGCCUAGGCGGCCUGGCAGGGCACAGAACAACAACAUAGUAUUUUUGUUUCUAUGGUGCUGGUUGUUCUUAUUAUAUACUAGUAUUUUCACCAGUGCGUGUGGCUGUAUUAUAUCUUCUCAAUUUCUCAUUCUCAACUUAGCUUCUACUUUAAUUCCGAAUUCCUAACACUCUUCAAAGGGGGUGAAUAAAGAAAAUGAAUUGGGGCUGUGAUGAUAAUCUUAAGCAAAAAGGCUACUUGGAUGAUGACACUUGUAUAUGGCAGGGCAAUCCAGAUUUGUGUAAAAUUUUCACAUAAAAUCUGCCGAUUUGCAGCCAUGGCUGGUGUCAAAUGCUUCAAUGCCUUAAUAGAUACAGAUUUGAGCCUCAAUUUCUUUAUGCUUUUUGGGGGGCCAAUUGUCUUUGUACAUUUGUUUGUGCUUUGCAUUUGCAGUGGAAAUAAUGGACUGGAGCUUUAAAAUUCUUAAUCUAGAUCAACUUGAUUUAGGUUGAACAAGUAAGCCAUGCUUUGGUUUCUAUUUGGGUUUAUUCAAUGGCCUCGGAGGCUGGUAUUUAACACAUUGAUUUUGUUCCAUAAGUUCCCUAGCAGGCUAGCACUACCAUACAUGGUGCCAUGGUGGUCUUGUUGCUUCUGAGCAGCUGCAGUAUCUUUUCAACUAACCUUCAGCUCGGAAGGCCAAACUCCAUCUCUAAGAAGAGGAAAGCGAGACGGAAAAAUGGUGCAGUGAUGAUAAGUCCUUUCAAGAAAAGUAAUAAGGCGAUGGAGGAAAAAUAAACCUGGAACUUGGCUAAUAGCUCCAAUUUGUGUUUUGUUGUGAAGUUAGAGGAGCAGAUCUUGAAGAUGAUACUGUGAAGAACAGUGCAGAAAGCAAUGUGUGCUAAUGACCAACAGAUUGUUGUUAUUUUGUACCCUAAUUAAAUCACUUGUGAAUAUUUAGGUUGUCAUUUAUAAAACAUUUAAGCCAAUUCUUAUGAACAUUGCACUUGUAGUUUGUGGGGGCAUUCAUGUUUUGUGAAAUUUUGAUUCACAUUAACAUUAUUAGUUAUUUAGUUAUAUUUUCCAUUCCCCAUUUUUUCCCUC